AGCUUUGCGCAGUGGCAGUAUCGUAGCCAAUGAGGUUUAUCCGAGGCACGAUUAUUGCUAAUUAAAGUAGGUAACUGAAAUAAUGCAUAAUUUUAUUAUUGUUAUAAUGAUAGCUUUUCAUUUUUUAAAAACUGCUAAUCAAAGU